GACGAACCGUCCUAACGUUGUUCGGAUUCACUGGGCUUAAAGGGCGCGUAGGCGGACUGGUAAGUCCGGGGUGAAAUCUUUCGGCUCAACCGGAAAAGUGCCUUGGAAACUGCCAGCCUCGAGGGGGGUAGGGGCCUGUGGAACUUCGGGUGGAGCGGUGAAAUGCGUUGAUAUCCGAAGGAACGCCGGUGGCGAAAGCGACGGGCUGGACCCCUUCUGACGCUGAGGCGCGAAAGCCAGGGGAGCAAACGGG
rnacentral:rRNA from 1 species